rnacentral:rRNA from 1 species
UUGAACGCUGGCGGCAGGCCUAACACAUGCAAGUCGAGCGGAUGAAGGGAGCUUGCUCCUGGAUUCAGCGGCGGACGGGUGAGUAAUGCCUAGGAAUCUGCCUGGUAGUGGGGGAUAACGUCCGGAAACGGGCGCUAAUACCGCAUACGUCCUGAGGGAGAAAGUGGGGGAUCUUCGGACCUCACGCUAUCAGAUGAGCCUAGGUCGGAUUAGCUAGUUGGUGGGGUAAAGGCCUACCAAGGCGACGAUCCGUAACUGGUCUGAGAGGAUGAUCAGUCACACUGGAACUGAGACGCGGUCCAGACUCCUACGGGAGGCAGCAGUGGGGAAUAUUGGACAAUGGGCGAAAGCCUGAUCCAGCCAUGCCGCGUGUGUGAAGAAGGUCUUCGGAUUGUAAAGCACUUUAAGUUGGGAGGAAGGGCAGUAAGUUAAUACCUUGCUGUUUUGACGUUACCAACAGAAUAAGCACCGGCUAACUUCGU